UAGGAUAACAAUUUAUUUGUUUACUUCUCUUGGUUCUGACAUGAUAGUGCAUUUGGUAAAUACGAAGCCAUAUCACUCUAUUGUGCAAGAAAAAAUGGAUAUAACCUCAAGUGGUUCUGCUCAGACUCAUUUUUCAAACAGGUCUCCUGGUUUAGUUGGAAACUAACAGCUUACACACUGGCAAUGUGUAGGAAAACUGUUACUUUAUGAUUGUGUGCAAAAGUAAAUGAGAUGUCGCGUAAGCCAAUCAAUCAGCUCUGUAAAGAACAUCGUCUGUUUUCAGUAACGAAUGGUUUCCUCUCAACAUUUGGUUAAUUUUUCUUGCUGUGAUCUAAAAAAUCUCUCUUGAAUCCAAACUGCAGAAUGAUAUAUGGGACUAGCAGCCACUUACAAUAAUGUCACCUUGCUGUUUCACCUGCUUUUGUGGUUGAGUUUGGGGUACCAUAAGCUUUUAAAAGGCCUUGUUUCGGUGGUUUCUUUGUCAUUAGCUGGCCUUUCCUCUCUUUUAUUUCUGGACCCUAAAGGUGGAGUCCCUGGGGAACCUCAGACGGCUGGACCAACACUAGCUUGAAAGAGAUGCCACUUCCUUCUUCACGUCAUUGAACUGGGAGUCCCAGCAAUAGAAUGAUGAAAUAAAGAGGCUCAGAAUACUGGAGCAAAACAAAGAUUAGAGUCAUUCAACUUAAACCCUGUGUUUUACCUCUCAGGUAAUGGAGAGAAGAGGACACAGAGGUCCUAAGGGAAUCCAGAGCCACAGGCAGAAAGAGCCUGGUUCCCUGAAUCACUGCAUGAAGGAAAGCCAGAGCUGCCAAACGGGAACAGUACCCUGGACUUGUACGUGAAUAGGAAAUGAACUUCUGUUGAGUUGCAGGUCUUUCUAACUGUGCUAUGUGGGAUGCAGCCUCAGCAUGGCUUGACGAGCGGUGCUAGGUCCACGCCAAGGAUCCAAACCCACGAACCCCUGGGCCACGAGGGUGGAGCACACAAACUUAACCAUUCAACCAUGGUCCCAAUAUUAUCACCUUUUCUUCUUUGCUGCACUUCCAUCUUCAUUGGAGAAGACCUAGGAAGUCUUUCUGGAAAAGCCUAGAAAACUUCAGCAAGCUCCCCAUUGCUCUCAG
rnacentral:lncRNA from 1 species